CACUGUGUGUUAUACGUGUCGACACGGGACGUGCCGGUUUUAAGCCGGUGGAAGGCGAGGAUGACGUCAAGUCAGCAUGGCCUUUAUAUCCUGGGCUACACACACGCUACAAUGGUCUGUACAACAGGUUGCCAAACCGCGAGGUGGAGCCAAUCCCUAAAACAGGCCUCAGUUCAGAUUGCAGGCUGCAACCCGCCUGCAUGAAGCCGGAGUUGCUAGUAACCGCAGGUCAGCUAUACUGCGGUGAAUACGUUCCCGGGUCUU
rnacentral:rRNA from 1 species